rnacentral:rRNA from 1 species
UACGAAGGGGGCUAGCGUUGCUCGGAAUCACUGGGCGUAAAGCGCACGUAGGCGGCUUUCUAAGUCAGGGGUGAAAUCCUGGAGCUCAACUCCAGAACUGCCUUUGAUACUGAGGAUCUUGAGUUCGGGAGAGAUGAGUGGAACUGCGAGUGUAGAGGUGAAAUUCGUAGAUAUUCGCAAGAACACCAGUGGCGAAGGCGGCUCACUGGCCCGAUACUGACGCUGAGGUACGAAAGCGUGGGGAGCAAACAGG